ACAUAAAAUAAUUACAAAUUUAAAGAAAAAAUAAACUAAAAGCUAAAUAAUAACAAAAACCUUCAAUAUCCGCUGUCCAGCCGAGCGCUAUACCAGGGCUGCCUAUAAGCUGAUCACGUACAGAAGCCGAUAGAUUUGGUGUAAUACUUCAAGUUCAAUAUGACUGAUACCGAAGCCGAAGCCAGUGAACUCAAAACCGAUAUUAAAGAGGAAAAACCUACGCUUAUGACAAAGCUAACAAAUUCCAUUACUUCAUUAACGAAUAACAAAGAUGGUCGAUUCCAAAUGAGCGAGAGCAAUUGGUCGCUUUUGAAGUGCACGCUCGUCUUCCUGUUCGGUGUUGUGUUGACCAAGAAAAUGCAGAAGGUGGUCAAUGAAAUUAUGUGAAGUUAACUUGUGUCUAAGCGUACAUGAAAUGCAAACAAUUGCCU